rnacentral:rRNA from 1 species
AUUGAACGCUAGCGGGAUGCCUUACACAUGCAAGUCGAACGGAGUGGCGAACGGGUGAGUGAUGUAUCGGAACGUGCCCAGUAGCGGGGGAUGACUACGCGAAAGCGUAGCUAAUACCGCAUACUAUUGGAGCGGCCGGUAUGGGUUUAGCUAGUUGGUGGGGUAACGGCUCAACAAGGCGACGAUCCGUAGCUGGGUUGAGAGGACGACCAGCCACACUGGGACUGAGACACGGCCCAGACUCCUACGGGAGGCAGCAGGGGGGAAUUUGGGACAAUGGGGGAAACCCUGAUGCAGCCAUGCCGCGUGUGCGAGGAAGGCCUUCGGGUUGUAAAGCACUUUUGGCAGGAAAGCGGUACCUGCAGAAUAAGCACCGGCUAACUACGUGCCAGCAGCCGCGGUAAUUC